rnacentral:rRNA from 1 species
CUUUAACGGAGAGUUUGAUCCUGGCUCAGGACGAACGCUGGCGGCGUGCCUAAUACAUGCAAGUCGAGCGGAUUGAUGGGAGCUUGCUCCCUGAUAUCAGCGGCGGACGGGUGAGUAACACGUGGGCAACCUGCCUGUAAGACUGGGAUAACUUCGGGAAACCGGAGCUAAUACCGGAUAAUCCUUUUCCUCUCAUGAGGAAAAGCUGAAAGACGGUUUCGGCUGU